rnacentral:lncRNA from 1 species
AAUAAAAGCAGUGCUAGUAUGACUACAAAUUCCUUGCAGGGUUAUUUUGAGGAUUAUAUAAGUAAGGCAUGAGAAAGCACCACUGCUCAGUUUAAAAUACCUAGAGAGUGCUAGCUAAUGUAGCCUAGCAUGACUAACCCUGAUUGGCAAGCUUAUUACAAGGUUAAAAAAAAAAUGAAGGCAACAAAAACUGAGUCGUAUGGUACAUACAUAAUAUCUCAAUAGAUUGUUAGAAACAAUUGUGGCAGCUUAUUUUUACCAUGGAGUGGCCUUUCCAUUACUGACAUGAGGAUAAUGGAUCUUAUAUAAAGUGAGAGGUCAGAUUAUGCCUAUUUGACGCUCCCCACAGACCAGUCUGACAUCAGGGAGACUUUGGAUACCCCAUGUAUAUUGGCUUUGGCUCCUUGGGAAUGGAGUACAGCCUUGUAAGGGGCUUGGGCAAAAAGCCCAGCACCACAUGUGUCUAGUGGACACUGCCAUGGAAAGUAUUUUUCUUGCAGUUAUUUAUACCAUCAAGACUAAUUUAGUUUUCCUUUUGUAAAGGGGAUAGAAUCACCUACCCACAACAUGUUUACCUUAGAGUUGUACAGCACCCUAAGGACAGAAGAAAUACAGCUUAUUUCACAUUCUUUUUUUUUUUAACCCUUAAACAUCAUACACACAAAAGUGAUGCAGAAUUUGGAGGUCAUGGGGGACAAAAAGCACUUUAGUGUGUUAAUUUAAGAUAUGUGCAUAAACUUCAUGCAGAUUUAAAUUUCCCAACAGCUUGCAAAUGGCUUACUCAAGUAAUCAAAACAGGAGUUUCUGGAGCUAACAUUAGUCAUAAAGACCACAGAAUGUAGCUUUUUAUGUUUAUUGUUUACUUUUACAUUCUGUCCUACCCUGAGUCAUGUAGUCUGACGGAAUCGUGCAGGUGUGCUUGAUGGCAUCCACGAAUAUCUGUGGAAGCGGAGACCCUCCACAGUGGAAUACGAAUAAGGCUUUGAAGUAAAAAAUAGCAUGAUCUCAAACACCAGGCUCACCUCUUCUCAGCUGGGGUGGUCCACUGAUUUGGGGCCAUUUAUUUCAAUUUUCUGAGUCUGUUUCUUCAUUUAUAAACUUAGGUACUACAAUACCCUCACCGUGCAGUGGUAAAGCUAACAUGUGAAAUGUAUGUAAAGAGCUUAGGUCCAGUGUGGAGAAUUUUAUUGAGUGUAUUAGUAAAUUACACUUGUUAUUAUUAGUCUUCUCCAUAGAGUGAGGGGGUAGUGAACAGGGUCCAGGUUCAAAAAGGUAUUUGACCUGCUGAGUCAGUCUCCCCCCACCCCCAGAGGGAGGAGGGAUUCCAAAACCAAGCAAGCAAACACUGUAGCCAGGGUGUCUUAUUCUCUGGGAAAUCAUUUGAAUCCUUUGGCUUCUAGCUUCUGAAGAAUAUUUCAAUCUCUGGGGAAAAAUUCUGUGUACUUUUCACUAACAGUAUAGGCAUGACUUCUGUCCAAAUUAUUGUUGUACAACUUAUGCUUUGUUAUUUCAAAACCUUUCUUAUAGAUAAAAUUAAAGGAGUUUAAAAUAAACAUAACCAAAAUUUUGCCCCUUGGAAAAGUUUGCUGUAACUGGUAUAUUUUCCACAUGGCAACAUGUUACUUUUCCUUAGAGUAGAAAUGUUUCCCAACCACUGCUUUCAAAAAAAAAAAACUAACCUGGUGUUUCAGUAAUCCCUGUCCUUUCAUAUUCUUUUCCUUCUGUCCACUGAUCCUUCCCCUUCCUCACCUUGCUAGCCAACUAUCUCCUGUCCUUCAAAGUUCGUCUCAAGCACACCUUCCCAGUAAAGUGUGUCCUAGAUAUCCCCAUCUGCCACAUCUAGCUAAUCCCUGGCUCUUCCUCUGUUUAGUUAAAGCAUUUCCUGCAGACUAGUACCAUGAAACUUAUCCUGUGUUAGAUCUGCCUGUUUGCUUGUCUCCCCAGGUCAUUCACUCAUGCCAGAAGAACCAGUGUCUGUCUUUAUCUCCCCACAGGGCCAUGAAUGCAGUACGACUCAGUAAUUAUCUCUAUUUGACCCUGUGGUUUGUGUCCAACAUGUAGGCAACAUUAAUGCUAAGAAAUGCCAGAGUAACUGAAUAAAUGCAUACAGCAUAUUAUAGCCACAGCAGAAGAGGUUAUUUUAAGAACUACUGCUUGCUUCAUGUCUGAGUAAAGAUGGAAUAUCAAACAUAAGUUCUUUAUAAUCAAAGGAAGCUUACUUCCAAGAUAGGAGAGCCUCCCCUUCCUUUUUUUUUUUUUUUAAAUUAGAAGAAGCAUUUGCAUUUUCACAUUAGUCUUUGAAUAUGCAUGGCUGGUUGAAUCCUGUCUGACACCUUCACAGAACUUGCUUGAGGAAGCUUUCCAGUACUAAAUAAAUUGCAUCCAUUCUAAUUAAAGGUAUGCAGAGAAUACUACCCAGACAGGAGAAAUAAGGUGGAACGAUGAGCUAGAACUUCCAUGGUAACCCUGCCAGGGAUAAUGUAACUGAUUCAUAUGGUCCCUUUUGCCACGUAUUGAUUCCAUGCCAACAAACCUCUAAAACUGUCCAUCAUUUCACAGAGCUAUUUAUAGUCUAAGUCUAGCUGUGACAAAUGAAAGGUGAUGGGCAUACAGAGACAUUUACUAACAUGAAUAAUAAAAUACUCCUGCUUUCCAGCUCAAAUGGCCAUUGAUUAUCAACAAAGUUUAACUAGAUAGUAUAUGUAAAUAUAAGGGUAGUUUACUGAAACACAAUGAAAUAUUUGCAUCACAUCUUUUCGUACAGAGGACCUGCUAAAGGAUAAAAAACUAAAAACUCAAGCCUGAUGUUAUAGGUACCACAUCACUGCACAGUAUUGGUACCUCAUUCUGCCUUAGGCUGGUUAUUAGCAUUUGAGUUUAUCGAGCAAUUUGUCAGAAUAUUAAGCACACAUAAAAGGAAGUGAUAAAUUAAUGCCACAUGGACAUAAAGAUUCCAAAACUGAGACAAAGCUUCAGUAGCACAAUUGCUUGUUAUGCCCUUUAAAGCAUGUCAUGGCUCUUCUGGUUGGGAUACUGAUAGAAAAAUAAGUUGUGCGCUGUCCAUUAAUUUCUGUAAAUCAGACUUCUAAAUUAUAAUACUUUACAUUCCUAACAUUCAGUUUGACUUCUGAGCUUGCCUGCAAUACUCAAGGCUGAGCAAUUGGUGUUUCAUCGGGAGAUAAGUGCUUGCAAUGGUAGGGAUGCAGGUGGUGGUGGUUGCUAUUUGGAUAGGCAACCACUUGCAUCAACAUCCUGGAUGAACCAGCUUGUUCAGACAUUGACUUUGCAUGCUUUAAACUUGAUCCUGAAUUGUCACAUGGGUUACACUUAAUAGCCUGAAUAUUUAGAAGUCAAUUUCUUAGCUGAUUGCCAAAUUAUCAUCAUUUUUUUUUAAUUUAAACCUACUGGGACACUCAGAUUGAGCUCUUUCAGCUCAAGUUUUGUUUUUUGAAAAACCUUAAGAUUUCAAACUUUCAUAAAUCAUAUUCCUUGAUUGGCAAAAAGUCAGUGCUGUUAAUGUCUUUUUUCCAGUAUAUCUUAUUAUCUUCAGCCAUAAUUAAUUUCUUUAAUAACUGCUUCAAUGGAUGCAUUUUUAAAAUAUUUGCUGCACAAUAUUAUCUCACAGUGGCAGUGAUGGAAAUCUGCUCUUUUUUCAGGGGGUUGGAUGUGGAUAGGGAGGGCUCAUAUUGGGUCCAAAUACUAUAAAAUGAAAGUCAAGACUCUUUGCCAAAGUUGGCUUGUGGUUUCCUGUCUUUCCUCUUGUUUUCGUUCUGGCUGGAUUACUCUGAUGUUUUUACCUGUUGAAAUAUUACCAAAUACUUAUGAACACCUGAAACCUGCCCUUUUCCCUCCCAAUCACAUUUGAUCAGGUCACAUUUCCAACUCUCAUAGCAUUUAAAAAAUAGUUUCCAGAGAUCCCUUAAGACCAACUACCUUGUGUUUAUAGAUCCCUAAGUGAUUAUUGGGAUUUAGCCUUAUUGCUGUAUUUUUUUAAUUUUAAGAAAUUAAGUGGAAAAAUGUGGCGAGUUAUUUAUAUACACUACAUAGCUGUACCCGUAAACAUUUAAUAUUUAUGAAGUUUAACUUUUUCAAUUUUUUCAAGACAUGAAACAUAACAUAUAGUUGAGAUCACUUUUCUUCAGUCUAAUUUCUUCCCCCUUUCUACUCUGUCCAUAGAUAAGAUCACUCAGUGAAUUUAUUGUGUAUCCUUUUAAUCCAUUUUUUAAACUGUAUAGAAAAACAAGUAACUUCACACACAUAGUACUGUGAGUUCUUUUUUAUGCAUAUAAAUUAUAUCAUAGAAUAGUAUAUAUUGUAUAUAUUAUUUUUGGUGUUCAAUAUUUUGGGAUUUCUGGAAUUUUUAGAUUACUAACUUAUUUCACUCUUUUAAGCUGCUGAAUAGUGUCUCACUGUAUAUAUUUUCCACAACUUGAAUAUCAUUGACUCUAUCUUCAAAAUAUAUCCAGAAUCCAUCUACUUCUCCCUAUCUCUACUGCCCCCUCCUUGGACCAAAAUACUAUGUGUCUCACCUAGAUUAUUAAACAGUCUUCCAACUUCUGACCUCCUUGGAGACCCCUAAAACCUACUCUCAAUACAGCAGUCAGAGGGAUCCUUUUUAAAAUGUAAGUCAUACUGAGGAGUCACUAACCUAUUUAAAACCCUCAAGUGACUUUGGCUCUCACUACUUCAAAGGAUGCUGCUUUGGAUCACCUCUUACUUCUGCACAGGAGAGUUUCUCUACGGUAAAUUCCUACAGAGGAAAUACUGUUUUUUAAGACACUGAAUCACACAUUUUUCAAUAUUACUACUUUCUUCUAUACUACUUUCUCAAGUGGUUAUGCCAAUUUUUGAUCAUAUCAGCAUUGCAGAUAUGAUUUUUUAUGCUUCUGUAACAUAUUGGUAAACAGUUAUACAGAUGGUAGAUGGUGAAUAAUUAUUUAACCCCUUUGUCUGUCAAGGGAGAGUUCAACACCCACUCACCUUAACUCUUAAGUAUCCCCUUCAGAAAGAUUUAUGCUUUGCCUUUCUCUGUAGAAAUUCUGUAAAUCUUUUUACUGUUGCAUCUAUCUGCAUUUCAUGUUGUAAUGUGUAUUUUUGCCUCCCCUCUCCUACUUAUAGACCUACUUGACCUCAGGGUUAGGAUCUUCAUUGUAUCCUAUUAUCUAAGAAGAGAAAAAUGAAAAUUUUCUAAUUGUGGAUCAUCUAUGGUCAAGCACAGAGCAAUGUCCUUACACAUGUAACUUUUUCACAUUUACAGUUGUUAUUGGAGAUAGAUAUUAUUAUUAUUCCCACCUUACAGAUAAUAAAAUGGAGGGCCAUCAUUUUCUCACGGUUACAGAACCAGGAAAAGGCAAAGCCUGUGUUGUAAAACCGCCAGACUCUAAAACCUAACUCAUCCUACUGUACCAUGUUCUUCUUAUGUGUCCUUAUCUCCUAUAAAGGAAAGUCUUCAUAUAUAGUUGCUGAAUAACUUCUUAGAUGAUCCUAUGUAAAUAUUGCUGGAUUCUAUGCUGUUUAGUCAAUAUCAAAUUUUGUUAAUAUUUUCUUUACUUUGAUCAGAUUCUUUAGUAGAGAUGCCUCAAUGACUGAAAUUCACCCUUAGGUUGUAUGUGUUUGUGUCCGUGUGUGUGUGAGAGAGAGUGAGAUUAAGUCUAUACAUUGCUUCUAUUUCCGAGGUAAAGUGUAGAUCACUUUUAAUUUGAGGAAUUUUUUUAAUGAUUAUUGAUGGAUAGGUUUCCAGGAAUGACUCAUUAAAAUGCUAAGACAGAUGAAGCAUUUUAAAACUUACUCCAACCAAUUUGUUGUGAGUGAAGAAAGCCAGACAUUUUCAAUUUGGAUCAACAAUCAGAUUUCUAGGUGUAGAGUAACUACAUGCUGUUUAUCAUAUUGGACAGACCUAUUUCAUUUGUACCUAAUCUCCCAAACUCACUUUUCUCUACAGUUGUGUACCUUUCCCCACCACUGACAUAUGUACCU